CGUUUUAGUCCUUUCUGCGGAGUGGGCGUGUGGGUUGCUGGAAGAGGAGCUGUAAUGUUUUUCUACCGCCUGCUGCAGGCCCGGUUGUUUAGUGAGGGGGAGCAGGGAAUCCCAAUGGCCUGCCCUGCCUUUGCGCAGCAGCCAGCGGGCGGGUACGUCGCGGCCUGGCCGAGGGAGGAGAGCGCGGUCCCCAGUCGAGCUGGGUGAACUACCGUUGCACACUAUAGAGUUCCUGGUGCCUCUCCUUGGAAUUCGGCUAGCGGCGCCACAGCCUCUGCUGACUAAUCGCGACAUCACACCUAAUGUGAGCUCUGGAAGCCCAGCCAGGGACAAUGCUCCUUCACAGAUUCUGCACUAACCUGAGUGAAGGCCUAAGGUUUGGAACCUCCCCCUCGUGGAAAGAAGCUUUGUAUGGCUGUCAUGCUUAGACAGUGAUUCCUACGACUUGACCUUCAGGCUGGGAGAGGUGGAGAGCCAUGCCUGUUCUCCUUCGUUGCUAUGGAAUUUGCUGACACAAUAUCUUCUACAUGGUGCUGGGCAGAUCCUAAGAACUGACAACUUUCCUGUAUUACCCUGUGUGAGCAGCUGUCACCUUAUUGGGGGAAGAAUGCCUGAAAAUUAGGGGGCACUUCAAGUAGAGAGCUUCUAUUUCCUAUAUUUGUCUUAUAUACAAGUAUUUGCUUUUAUCAAAAUAAUUAUAAUAAAACAUUUUAAAGUAAA